rnacentral:rRNA from 1 species
GAUGAACGCUGGCGGCGUGCCUAAUACAUGCAAGUCGAGCGAAAAGAUGAGGCGUUUGCUCCUCUGACGUUAGCGGCGGACGGGUGAGUAACAUGUGGAUACCCUACCUAUAAGACUGGGAUCACUUCGGGAAACCGGCGCUAAUACCGGAUAAUAUAUUGAACCGCAUGGUGCAAUAGUGAGAUUCGGUUUUUCUGUCACUUCUCGCUGGUUCCGCGCCGCAUUAGUUAGUUGGGACGGUAACGGCUUACCAAGGGUACGAUGCGUAGCCGACCUGAUAGAGGGGUAGGCCGCAUGGGAAGGGAGACGGGGACCAGACUCCUGAGAGAGGGAGCAGAAGGGAAUCUGCCGCAAUGGGCGAGAGCCUGACAGAACAACGGGGCGUGAGUGCUGAAGGUGUUCGGAUCGGAAAACUCUGUUAUGAGGGAAGAACAAAUGUGUAAGUAACUAUGGAGGUAUUGACGGUACCUAAUCAAAAAGCCACGGCUAACUACGUG